AUCAAACUAAGAAUGCCGUCAAGAUACCCUCGGGAGUCAGUCUGCGUGAGAUAAGUCGCGUGGACAAAAGGGAAAGAGCCCAGACCGACAGCUAAGGUCCCAAAGUACGUGUUAAGUGGAAAAGGAUGUGGGAUUUCAUAGACAACUAGGAUGUUGGCUUAGAAGCAGCCAUACAUUUAAAGAGUGCGUAACAGCUCACUAGUCGAGAAAACCUGCGCCGAAAAUUUAACGGGGCUAAAACACGACACCGAAGCUACGGAUUUCCUACUAGGUAGGAAGUGGUAGAGGAGCAUCCUGCAAGGACGAAGCCAAAGUGAGAACGAUGGUGGACGAAACAGGAGAGAGAAUGCCGGAAUGAGUAGCGAGAUAGAAGUAAGAAACUUCUAGGCCGAAUAUCUAAGGUUUCCUGGGUAAAGCUAAUCUUCCCAGGGUUAGUCGGGGCCUAAGGCGAGGACGAAAGUCGUAGUCGAUGGAUAACAGGUUGAUAUUCCUGUACUACGUAUCAUCAGAACUGUGGGGACGCAGGAGGAUAGGAAAACCGGGGAAUGGAAAAACCCGGCCAAGUACAAAGUCAAGGGAGAUAGGCAAAUCCGUCUCUUGAUGAUGAAGUGCGAUGGGGACUGAACAAAAGUAGGGAAGUUUCCGAAUCCACACUGUCGAGAAAAGCCGCUAUUGUGUGAUACGUACCCGUACCGUAAACCGACACAGGUAGAUGAGGAGAAAAUCCACAGGCCGACGGGAGAAGUGUUGUUAAGGAACUCGGCAAAAUGACCCCGUAACUUAGGGAGAAGGGGAGCCACGCAAGUGGCCGCAGAAAAGAGGCUCAAGCGACUGUUUAGCAAAAACACAGGUCUCUGCGAAACCGAAAGGUGAAGUAUAGGGGCUGACACCUGCCCGGUGCUGGAAGGUUAAAAGGAGAGGUUCGACGUAAGUCAAAGCUUUGAAUUCAAGCCCCAGUAAACGGCGGCCGUAACUAUAACGGUCCUAAGGUAGCGAAAUUCCUUGUCAGGUAAGUUCUGACCCGCACGAAAGGUGUAACGAUUUGAGCACUGUCUCGACAACACGCCCGGUGAAAUUGAAGAACCAGUGAAGAUACUGGUUACCCGCAACAGGACGGAAAGACCCCAUGGAGCUUUACUGCAGCCUGAUACUGGGAUUCGAUGAUAUAUGUACAGGAUAGGAGGGAGACUAGGAAUCCGGGACGCCAGUUUCGGAGGAGUCGACGGUGGGAUACCUCUCUUAUGUUAUUGGAUUUCUAACUUGGCACCGUGAUCCGGUGUGAGGACAAUGUCAGGCGGGCAGUUUGACUGGGGCGGUCGCCUCCUAAAAGGUAACGGAGGCGCUCGAAGGUCACCUCAGAAUGAUUGGAAACCAUUCAAAGAGUGUAAAGGCAAAAGGUGGCUUGACUGCGACACCGACGGGUGGAGCAGGUACGAAAGUAG
rnacentral:rRNA from 1 species